UUCUGGCGACCGGCGCACGGUGGAGUAACACGUAUCCAACCUGCCCUUUACUCGGGGAUAGCCUUUCGAAAGAAAGAUUAAUACCCGAUAGCAUAAUGAUUCCGCAUGGUUUCAUUAUUAAAGGAUUCCGGUAAAGGAUGGGGAUGCGUUCCAUUAGGUUGUUGGUGAGGUAACGGCUCACCAAGCCUUCGAUGGAUAGGGGUUCUGAGAGGAAGGUCCCCCACAUUGGAACUGAGACACGGUCCAA
rnacentral:rRNA from 1 species